rnacentral:rRNA from 1 species
UACGUAGGCAGCGAGCGUUGUUCGGAAUUACUGGGCGUAAAGAGUGUGUAGGCGGUGCUCUAAGUUCGGUGUGAAAUCUCCUGGCUCAACUGGGAGGGUGCGCCGGAAACUGGAGUGCUUGAGCGUGGGAGAGGAAAGCGGAAUUCCUGGUGUAGCGGUGAAAUGCGUAGAUAUCGGGAGGAACACCAGUGGCGAAGGCGGCUUCCUGGCCUGUUCUUGACGCUGGGGCGCGAAAGCUAGGGGAGCAAACGGG